UACGUAGGGUGCAAGCGUUGUCCGGAAUCAUUGGGCGUAGCGCACGUAGGCGGUUCGUUAUGUCGGAUGUGAAAGCCCUUGGCUUAACCGAGGAAGUGCAUCCGAAACUGGCGAGCUAGAGUACUAAAGAGGAUCGCGGAAUUCCCGGUGUAGAGGUGAAAUUCGUAGAUAUCGGGAGGAACACCGGUGGCGAAGGCGGCGAUCUGGGUAGAUACUGACGCUGAGGUGCGAAAGCGUGGGGAGCAAACAGG
rnacentral:rRNA from 1 species